CCUCGACAAGUCCUCCUCCCCGUCGUCGUCCUCCUCGUAAGGCGGUGGCCCGAUGGCCCCCCGAUCACCACCAUGUUGAAUCAGGCGGGUUUGUGCAAUGGAGGGAGAGGGCACGGAAAACCGAUAGGGGGGAAGCAACAGGCAGUUUAAAGUCCUCUUUUCAGACCUGAAGAGGAUCUUACUCGACACUCACUCCUACCCAGCUUCAAUAUGGGAGUUCAUACUUGAAGAUGUUUGUGUGCUUGAGUCUUUAACCAAAAAAAUCAGUUAAAGGUGAUAUCUUCCCGUUGCAUUCUGGUCUAGUAUCUGAAAUGGCAACGUUGCUUCCCAACCAAUGAAGACCCUCUAAAAUCCGACCUUGUCAAAGGAAGCUUCGGGUUGUCCGGAAAGCCUUGAGGCCAUCAUUUCGGUCCGAAGUUCAGUAUGGCCGUCACCGUUGUCGUUUCGUCGGCAUGGCCAUCACUAUUUGCACCUCAUCCCAUGGGAAUUCGUCCUGCAGGUCCCAGAGCGACCGAGACGAACACCACCGGAAUCUGCAGCGGCAAGCCCAGAAACAACUGAGAAAAGCCGGCUCUCUUGCAAGUCCGGCCACCCGGAACGAGGUAGUUUGUCAAAAACGAUCUUGGAACUUCCUGCCGCCGCUUCCGAGAUCAUUGGCGCUAAUUCUGGAAAUGACCCCAACCUCUCUUGUAAGCAAGGAGAAUUCUUGUGGUAUGUCGUAAUUUCGAGCACCGAACAUGAUCUGAGCGGCAGCAGCUGGUUCUCUCUUUCUUGAUUUCGGGGCAAAUCUGGGCGAACAACAAACGUUAGCCCCGGCAAAUUCAAAUUGGUUAGGUGCAUUCCCCGUAUCACAUCAUUCGUUCAGGACGCUCUUGAAUUCUUCAAACUGAUGCAUCUUCUCUAGAGGCUCCAUAGCUUGGCUAGCUUUUGACCCCUUUCUAUGAAUGUGUGCGUAAGUGAAAUUUCUGGUUCCUUCCACGACUUGUCAACGGUGAUGUUUGCACAAGGUAAUGGAAUCGCCUAUGCCACCCUUUUUGUUUUGAGUUCUUGAUAACGAAAUGUCCCGGCCUCACACACGUCAGACAGUGUGUGUGUGUGUGUGUCUGUGUGAGAGAGAAUGUUCUUUGAAAUGAAUGCAACUUCCCACCCAAAGAGUAUUUACUCAGAUGAUUCUGCUCUCUUGAACCUGACGCUGAAGUUGAUCAUCAUCGCCACGUCUCGACUUCCAUGAUCAAAACCCAUUUUCUAAAGUGAAGACCCACACAGAAAUGGUCGUAACGCUCGGAUGAUAUCAUCUGACACAGCAACCAUCAAGAAACUAUGAACAUGUGUGAUCUGUCUGUAAGUGGGUAUACCGUCAAAUGGCUCGACCCCACCAAGUGCCAACCAAAGCGAAAAAACAACAACCUUACUUCAAAUUUUAGUGAAUGCUAACGAAACUCCCCCCUUGGGCUUAUUAGUUGCUCCUCUUCUCAUGGACAAUUGCUCCACGUUUUGUCAGUUGUCUUUGACAGAUUGGCCCCCCAUUCUUCAGGAUGUUCUGUCAAGAUUGCAGCACAUCUGUUUCUGGCCAGGUCGUUUGUUCUUCACGUGGAGGAGUCUCGUGCCUAGUGAGAUAAACAUCUCCGAGUUCUUCGAGGCUUCGAGAUGGCUAAAUACUUUUGAAUAUUCCCAUUUUAUGUCUUCUUUCCGCCCCUACAUUCCCUCGAAUUUCUCGCUUUAGAAAGACAUCUUGCCGAUUGUCGGUGGCUCUUAGCUAGGGUGCGUAAGUCUUGAACCGUGCCCACCAAACCGUGAAUCCUGGAAGGAUUCCUUACACAUCUUUCUGUUUGUCAUGACGUGUCAGCUUGAUCUCAUGACUCCCAAAGUUGUGGUGGAUUUACUGCCUCGGGGUAUAUGUUUGUUUCUCAUGUCCCAAGCUAUUUUCAGGGCUGUUUUUGUCGGCAAGUCUUCUGGUCUCUGCAUGACAUUGUAGGCCAAAACUCGAGACCCCCUGCUCUGGUCCACUCCAGUAGAUCCCUCAUGUCUCCCUCCUCAAUAGGCGUGUUAGUAACUAAGGAGACGAUGAUGCUGAUGAUGAUCGCCACCAAAGGUUUGGCUUCGAGCAGACUUCCGAAGCAUCAUAAACAGUGUCUCUUCUACAAAUAAGCAACAUGGAUACGGCGAUUCACCGCCGAUUGACUUAUUGCCCCAAGGAAUAGAGAAAAGAAGGGGAAUCUUUACCAUUAAAAUCCAGGCUAA